UGUUCGAGCGUCCAUCUGUGGAAGCCGUGUUGUAACCUGACAGCCAACAGUCCUCUGUUUUGCUUUGAAUUAAAGAAGAGAUUCUACAAAAAAAA